CAGGCCUAACACAUGCAAGUCGAACGAAGGCUUCGGCCUUAGUGGCGCACGGGUGCGUAACGCGUGGGAAUCUGCCCUUGGGUUCGGAAUAACCGUUGGAAACGACGGCUAAUACCGGAUGAUGUCGAUAAGACCAAAGAUUUAUCGCCUGAGGAUGAGCCCGCGUAGGAUUAGGUAGUUGGUGGGGUAAAGGCUCACCAAGCCGACGAUCCUUAGCUGGUCUGAGAGGAUGAUCAGCCACACUGGGACUGAGACACGGCCCAGACUCCUACGGGAGGCAGCAGUGGGGAAUAUUGGACAAUGGGCGCAAGCCUGAUCCAGCAAUGCCGCGUGAGUGAUGAAGGCCUUAGGGUUGUAAAGCUCUUUUACCCGGGAUGAUAAUGACAGUACCGGGAGAAUAAGCUCCGGCUAACUCCGUGCCAGCAGCCGCGGUAAU
rnacentral:rRNA from 1 species